rnacentral:rRNA from 1 species
CAGGCCUAACACAUGCAAGUCGAACGCCCUCGCAAGAGGGAGUGGCAGACGGGUGAGUAACGCGUGGGAACAUACCCUUUGGUUCGGAAUAGCUCAGGGAAACUUGGAUUAAUACCGGAUACGCCCUUUUUGGGGAAAGAUUUAUCGCCGAAGGAUUGGCCCGCGUCUGAUUAGCUAGUUGGCGGGGUAACGGCCCACCAAGGCGAAGAUCGGUAUCCGGCCUGAGAGGGCGCACGGACACACUGGAACUGAAACACGGUCCAGACUCCUACGGGAGGCAGCAGUGAGGAAUUUUCCGCAAUGGGGGCAACCCUGACGGAGCGACGCCGCGUGUGGGAAGAAGGCCUUCGGGUCGUAAACCACUGUCGAAGGGGACGAUAUUGACGGUACCCUUGGAGGAAGCCCCGGCUAACUUCGUGCCAGCAGCCGCGGUAAUAC